GGGGGUGUGGCGCAAUGGUAGCGCGUCAGAUUCCAGAUAUUGGAGUUUCCUGAAGGCUGGGCGUUCAAAUCGCCCCAUCCUCA